GCCUCUGUACUCAGUCGGUUAGAGCGCUGCACCGGAAUCGCAGGGCCGUAGGUUCAAUUCCUACCAGAGGAC
rnacentral:tRNA from 1 species